UACGUAGGGUGCGAGCGUUGUCCGGAAUUAUUGGGCGUAAAGGGCUCGUAGGCGGUUUGUCGCGUCGGGAGUGAAAACACCGGGCUUAACUCGGUGCUUGCUUUCGAUACGGGCAGACUAGAGGCAUGCAGGGGAGAACGGAAUUCCUGGUGUAGCGGUGAAAUGCGCAGAUAUCAGGAGGAACACCGGUGGCGAAGGCGGGUCUCUGGGCAGUAACUGACGCUGAGGAACGAAAGCGUGGGUAGCGAACAGG
rnacentral:rRNA from 1 species